rnacentral:rRNA from 1 species
UACGAGAGGCCCAAACGUUAUUCGGAAUUACUGGGCUUAAAGAGUUCGUAGGCGGCGCAGAAAGUAGGGUGUGAAAGCCCUCGGCUUAACCGAGGAAUUGCGCUCUAAACUACUGUGCUUGAGGAAUCUAGAGGUGAGCGGAACUGAUGGUGGAGCGGUGAAAUGCGUUGAUAUCAUCAGGAACACCGGGAGGCGAAGGCGGCUCACUGGGGAUUUUCUGACGCUGAGGAACGAAAGCCAGGGGAGCGAACGGG